CAGAUGAACGGUAUAACCUACAACUGGUUUCUGAAUCUUCACAAAUGGGAUACAUGAGCUGCAAAAUGACGGGGACGUUUGUUGGUCAUCAAAACCUGAGUUACAUUCUUGAUGCAGACUUUGGGAGGAGUCAGGCAGUGAAGAAGCUCUACAGGGUUUCAGCUUUAGGCAAGCUGUCCAUGUUUCAGACCUUUGCAGAGGUGACAGGGGUCUUUCCUUCAGAGGGUAGCAUCAUGGGUGGAACUCU